UUUUUCUAGUGAUUUAAUGCGGACGGAAAUAAUAAACAACCAAAUGAGUUAUGAAAGGUAUUAUUGUUUUUCUAGUGAUUUAAUGCAUAUUUUGUGUGUCUUUUUAUCAUGAUCCAUAUGACGUUUAAUCUGAGUAACAUGUUACUUCAUGAUUUUUUCUGAUGAUUGAUACUUAUAUGACUGACUAUUCACCCUUUAAAAUUAUUGCAGUUUACCAGGAUACAUAUUUUUGUAAUUGUUUGUGACAUGUUAGUCUUUUGUUUAACCUAUGUUCAUCCAUAGGGUUCUGCAAAACAUCCUUUUGUGAAAUGAUCCUCAACCGUCAAUUCUUUUAAAUGUUCCCUAGUAAAAUGAUUUAUUCUUGAUGGUUCAAAAGUUUCCCUAUUCCUUGGAUGUAUCAUAUGCAUCGGGGAUGUCAUAUUGAAGAAUCAGUAUAAUAAUAUGGACUAUUUGGAGGGGUCUUUAAAUGAGCUUGGAAGUUGGUGCAUAAGGCUGCAACACCGUCUAGUGGAGGGUGUUUUGGACAAAGAAAGCUUGUACCUUAAAACAGGAGGAUACAAGAAGCUGGAGUGGUUGUCUGAAGGCUUUUGAACUGCUUGAAGCAUUAGUGUAGCUUUGGUGCUUUUGUGACUGAUCAACUCUGGAGCAGCUAGAGUGAUGUAGUUGUGGGCUUUUGAACAAUAGCUGGAGUGAUAUGAAAUAUUAGUGAUGUAGUUGUGGGCUUUUGAACUGCUUCAAGCUGGAGUGAUGUCGUUGUGGUGCUUUUGUGACUGAUCAUCUCUGGAGCUUUUGUGAAUGAUCUAGCUAGCUAUCUGUAAAUGAUCUAGUCGUGAAUGAUAUUAUAAUUGUGAUGCUUUUGUGAAUAUAUAAUUGUGGUGCUUUUGUGUUUAUGCGAUGGAUCUAUGGCUAUGGUAUAUUGAUUAACUGUGUAUAUCUUUAUGAUUUGUGUAUAAAAAUCAGUGAUUUGUGCUGCUUAA